AUCUUCAGGGCGAGGUGAAAGUCCUCACUGGCGGUAACGCAAAGGUAAAACGUAUAUGUAAGGCGACUAUCAAUGCGAAGCCCGCGACCCCGAUUGUUUUUUUGAUUGUUGCAGUGCUUGCUAGUGAUGCAAAUAAAAGAUUGGCAAUUGGGCUGAUUCGGUGAAAAUCCGAGGCCAACGGUUACAGUCCGGAUGGAAGAAGAUG
rnacentral:ncRNA from 1 species